UACGUAGGGAGCAAGCGUUGUUCGGAUUUACUGGGCGUAAAGGGCGCGUAGGCGGCGCGACAAGUUACUUGUGAAAUCUCCGGGCUUAACUCGGAACGGUCAAGUGAAACUGUCAUGCUAGAGUGCAGAAGGGGCAAUCGGAAUUCUUGGUGUAGCGGUGAAAUGCGUAGAUAUCAAGAGGAACACCUGAGGUGAAGACGGGUUGCUGGGCUGACACUGACGCUGAGGCGCGAAAGCCAGGGGAGCAAACGGG
rnacentral:rRNA from 1 species